AUUGAACGCUGGCGGCAUGCCUUACACAUGCAAGUCGAACGGUAACAGGCCUUCGGGUGCCGACGAGUGGCGAACGGGGGAGUAAUACAUCGGAACGCGCCCGAUCGUGGGGGAUAACGAGGCGAAACCUUUGCUAAUAUCGCCUACUACCUAAGACUGAAUGCAGGUGACAGCAAGGCCUCGCCCGACCGUAGCGGCCGAUGGCAGAUUAGGUAGUUGGUGGGAUAAAGGCCUACCAAGGCGACGAUCUGUAGCUGGUCUGAGAGGAUGAUCAGCCACACUGGAACUGAGACACGGCCCAGACUCCUACGGGAGGCAGCAGUGGGGAAUUUUGGACAAUGGGCGCAAGCCUGAUCCAGCCAUGCCGCGUGCGUGAUGAAGGCCUUCGGGUUGUAAAGUGCUUUUGUACGGAACGAAAAGCCUUCUUUUAAUACAGGAGGGUCAUGACGGUACCGAAAGAAUAAGCACCGGCUAACUACGUG
rnacentral:rRNA from 1 species